rnacentral:lncRNA from 1 species
GUUUGGAGAGGAAAAAUAGAAGCUGCAGCCACUAUCCAAGAAUCAAGAAAAUAUCUUAAUAUCUUCAGACCGUGGCUGAGCAUGGGUAACUGAAACCGUGCAAAGCAAAAACAUGGAGAAGAGGGGACUGCUGCAAAUACACAUAUAUGUAUGUAUCUAUUUCACACAAGAGUAUGAAAACAUUACACUUUAACAGUUUAACAAAGAAGGAAACAACAGACACUGGGGUCCACUUGAAGAUGGAGGGCGGGAGGGCGGAGAGGAGCAGCAAAAAUAUCCAUCGGGUACUGAGCUUCAUUCCUGGGUGAUGAAAUGAUCUGUACAACGAACCCCUGUGACAUGGGUUUACCUGUGUAACAAACCUUCACACAUACCUCAGAACCUAAAAUAAAAGUUAAAAAAAGAAAUAUGAAAGUAAAAAAAGUUAAACAAUGUUCAUAAAUGUUUUGAUUGUUUAGUGACUACUUUUAUAUUAAACUUCUAUCUAGCUAGAAUUGACAUUGCUAUUAGGUAUAAUUUAUAGAUAUAAAUGGAUUUUUGGGUAGCUAUCCAUACUGCUAUUGCUUAUUGAAUAUUAAAAUAUUCCCCAUUUACUCUA